UAUAGUCAUGUUUAUACAUAUGGGUCCCUCUAUAGUCAUGUUUAUACUAAGGUUCCCUCUUAGUCAUUUUUUAUACUAUAUGGUUCCCUCUCUAUAGUCAUGUUUAUACUAUAUGGUUCCCUCUAUAGUCAUGUUUCUACUAUAUGGUUCCCUCUCUAUAGUCAUGUUUAUACUAUAUGGUUCCCUCUAUAGUCAUGUUUAUACUAUAUGGUUCUAUAAUCAUGUUUAUACUAUAUGGUUCUAUAGUCAUGUUUACACUAUGGUUCCCUCUAUAGUCAUGUUUAUACUAUAUGGUUCCUUUUCAAUAAUUAUAAUAAUAAUAUUUAUUUAUUAUGGACCCUAUUUACCUUCAUAUUACCCUGUCUGAUUUAGCUGGUUUGCAGUGUGUCGUCAUCAGUAUGUUGAAUGAAUCAUACAAUUAAAACCUAUUUCUACUGAGUUAUAUAAAACAGUUAUAUUUUCACACUUCUUCAAUCUGAUAUGAAGGGUGUAUCUCAAUCUUAAAUGGUGUCCCCUCUCCUUGCUUCCUUCCCUUCAUCAGCACUGAUAUGAAACAACGAGUGGCAAAAUCAGGUUCCCUGGGACCCAACAUGCAGCUCUUGCAUCUGAAUUAAGACGCUUCCCUUUGUCUGUCUACUUACUACAUCAUGGGCCAUCGGUCUUUCUCUUUGGUCUCUCCUGUCAGAUGGGAUUGGCUGGAGCUGGGGUGGUUAAGCAUCAGAGGGCAGGUCAGAGGGGAUGGUGAGGGUGUGUAGCAGGAGGUGGACAGUGGUGGUGGCGGGGGGGAACCAGAGAGGGCGUUCAGGGAAGACUUCAGAGUCUCACAGGCUGCAACAAUCACCUACAUGACAGGGAGGAGGGGAGGCUAGGGUUGGCAAUGCUUGCUUUUUUGGCCAUAGCGCCGCAAAACAAUAAAACCAAAACCUAGCUCGUCUUUGAGCCUUUCUACACAGGUCUUCCGGUCCCUCUCAGCUACCGGACAGCUAAGCUGUUUACCGGCAUAUCCAACAAAAGAAAACAGAAAUCCAACAGGCUUAAUCUUACUGGGGUCAGGUCUAGGGCCAAAUAACAUCCGGUAGGUUCCUGUCCAGUUGGGUUCGAGAUCCCUCCCAGCGUUGGAGGGCUUUGUAUGUCAGCUCUUGCUGCUCCAAGCCAAAAACAGAUCUGGCUAAAGCCAGGCAAAAAAUAAUUAAUAACACCACCCAACCUCCAAGCUAAGCUUUAUUCUGGUGUGUGUCAUUAGGCUCUUACCCUUCCAGGCCUACCUCUCUUCUGGCCAGCAGAUGUCGCCAACGAGCAGGAAUAGAACGGCCUUCACACACCCACCCUUUCAGUCCAUCACAAUGGUGAAAUGCGCACACAGUGGACACAUAUUUUUG
rnacentral:lncRNA from 1 species